GACGAACGCUGGCGGCGUGCUUAACACACGCAAGUCGAACGGUGAAAGCGGAGCUUGCUCCGCUGGAUCAGUGGCGAACGGAUGAGUAACACGUGGGCAACCUGCCCCUCACUUCGGGAUAACUCCGGGAAACCGGGGCUAAUACCGGAUAUGACCUCCUUGGGCAUCCUUGGAGGUGGAAAGUUUUUCGGUGAGGGAUGGGCCCGCGGCCUAUCAGCUUGUUGGUGAGGUAGUGGCUCACCAAGGCGACGACUGGGUAGCCGGCCUGAGAGGGCGACCGGCCACACUGGGACUGAGACACGGCCCAGACUCCUACGGGAGGCAGCAGUGGGGAAUAUUGCGCAAUGGGCGAAAGCCUGACGCAGCAACGCCGCGUGCGGGAUGACGGCCUUCGGGUUGUAAACCGCUUUCAGCAGGGAAGAAGCCGCAAGGUGACGGUACCUGCAGAAGAAGCACCGGCUAACUACGUGCCAGCAGCCGCCGUAA
rnacentral:rRNA from 1 species